UAGGGGAACGAAACUUCACUAUCACCCGCAGGAGUAAUAGCUGCAGAUUUUCCUGGAGGGAUGAGGCCUUCUGACAGCCAUGAAGUAUCCCAGUUAAAUG
rfam:Pseudobacteroides cellulosolvens ATCC 35603 = DSM 2933 ctg1, whole genome shotgun sequence.